GUGUCAGCCGCCGCGGUAAUACAGAGGUCCCAAGCGUUGUUCGGAUUCACUGGGCGUAAAGGGUGCGUAGGUGGCUGGGAAAGUUUGAUGUGAAAGCUCAGGGCUCAACCCUGAAAUGGCAUUGAAUACUACUUAGCUGGAGGUUUGGAGGGGGGACUGGAAUUCUCGGUGUAGCAGUGAAAUGCGUAGAUAUCGAGAGGAACACCAGUGGCGAAGGCGAGUCCCUGGACAACACCUGACACUGAGGCACGAAAGCUAGGGGAGCAAACAGGAUUAGAUACCCUGGUAGUCC
rnacentral:rRNA from 1 species